rnacentral:rRNA from 1 species
GUAGGUGGCAAGCGUUGUCCGGAAUUAUUGGGCGUAAAGCGCGCGCAGGUGGUUCUUUAAGUCUGAUGUGAAAGCCCCCGGCUCAACCGGGGAGGGUCAUUGGAAACUGGGGAACUUGAGUGCAGGAGAGGAAAGUGGAAUUCCACGUGUAGCGGUGAAAUGCGUAGAUAUGUGGAGGAACACCAGUGGCGAAGGCGACUUUCUGGCCUGUAACUGACACUGAGGCGCGAAAGCGUGGGGAGCAAACAGGGAUUAGAUACCCUGGUAGUCCACGCCGUAAACGAUGAGUGCUAAGUGUUGGGGGGGUUUCCCGCCCCUCAGUGCUGCAGCUAACGCAUUAAGCAUCCGCCUGGGAGUACGGUCGCAAGACUG